rnacentral:lncRNA from 1 species
CUCAGACCAAAGAACAGAAAAGAAGUUUAAUAAGUGGUUCCUAUGGAGAAACUGAUGCUUGAUCUACCCAGUUACCUCUGUGUUCAGUUACUGAUGGUCUGUUGCAACUUGACAGGUUCCAAAAUUAGAAAGAUGGAAAAUUCUGCUGCAAUUCUUAGGUGUCUAGCAAUCCGGCUUAUAUUGCUUUUAUCCAUUAAGAUAAUCAGAGGGAUGGAAACUCAAGUACUAUAUAUCAACUCAAAGAACCGAGAAGGGGUGACAUGCCAAGCAGCCAUGUAG